AUGGCUGUCGUCAGCUCGUGUCGUGAGAUGUUGGGUUAAGUCCCGCAACGAGCGCAACCCCCGUCCUUAGUUGCCAGCGGUUCGGCCGGGCACUCUAGGGAAACUGCCGGUGACAAGCCGGAGGAAGGCGGGGAUGACGUCAAGUCCUCAUGGCCCUUAUAGGCUGGGCUACACACGUGCUACAAUGGCGGUGACAAUGGGCGGCGACCCCGCGAGGGUGAGCUAAUCCCCAAAAACCGUCUCAGUUCGGAUUGUACUCUGCAACUCGAGUGCAUGAAGUUGGAAUCGCUAGUAAUCGUGGAUCAGCAUGCCACGGUGAAUACGUUCCCGGGCCUUGUACACACCGCCCGUCACACCAUGGGAGUUGGUUUUACCCGAAGCCGGUGCGCUAACCGCAAGGAGGCAGCCGACCACGGUAAGGUCAGCGACUGGGGUGAAGUCGUAACAAGGUAGCCGUAGGGGAACCUGCGGCUGGAUCACCUCCUUUCUAAGGACGCAUUGUGAAAUAUAUUAGCGCCGUCUACGCAUCCCUUCCGAGUUCGAAAUAACAUUAGGACCAUCGUUGUAUCAGCGGUAGUAAGUCUGUUGCUCCGGUGUGCGCUUACCUUAUGGGGGCGUAGCUCAGUUGGGAGAGCGACGGCUUUGCAAGCCGUAGGUCGUCGGUUCGAACCCGUCCGCCUCCACCAAAUCCAUUUGGGUCUUGGUGACUAUCAGGUUUGGGCUAGUAGCUCAGUUGGUUAGAGCGCGCGCUUGAUAAGCGUGAGGUCGGAAGUUCAAGUCUUCCCUGGCCCACCAUUUUGCGGCGGUGCCGCGAGAUUCGCCGGAGGCACGCUGGUUAAGAAAUCGGCUCGAGUCUCUCGGCCUUAAAGAUAUCUGGACUUGGAAGUAUAGGUUUUGCCGCUCUUUGUGGGUUGGUAAAUGUUUGUUCCUUGACAUGGUGAAGAGGUGACGACUUGGGAAUGUCCUUGUUGUCGAAUUGGCCCGAGCGGUGCUCGUGUUCGUUCGGCGCGUUUGGAUGUUCCCGGGAACUGAUGACUAGCAUCUUCAAUCAUGGGUGAUUGUUGGUUCGAUUUGACUUGUGUUUUAUGGCUAAAUUGUUCCGGUAUUUAUCCGUGUGCGAGUUGAUCAAGCGUCAAAAGGGCAUUUGGUGGAUGCCUUGGUGCCAAGAGGCGAUGAAGGACGUGACACGCUGCGAAAAGCCUAGGGGAGCUGCGAGUGAGCUUUGAUCCUGGGAUAUCCGAAUGGGGAAACCCGG
rnacentral:sRNA from 1 species